AAUAUUUGACACUGGGGGGAACCCUGAUCCAGCCAUGUCGCGUGUGUGAAGAAGGCGUNAUUUUUNUNAAGCACUUUAAGCGUGGNGGAGGAACUUUUUGUUAAUACCCAAGAUUCUUGGACUUUACUCGCAUACUAAGCACCGGCUAACUCUGUCCCCUCAGCCGCUGUAAUACAGAGGGUGCAAGCGUUAAUCGGAUUUACUGGGCGUAAAGCGCGAGUAGGUGGCCAAUUAAGUAAAAUGUGGAAUCCACGAGAUUAACUUGGGAAUUGCAUUCGAUACAGGUUGGCUAGAGUAUGGGAGAGGAGGGUAGGAUUCAAGGUGUAGCGGUGAAAUGCGUAGAGAUCUGGAGGAAUACAGAUGGCGAAGGCAGCCAUCUGGCCUAAUACUGACACUGAGGUGCGAAAGCAUGGGGAGCAAACA
rnacentral:rRNA from 1 species